rnacentral:rRNA from 1 species
GACGAACGCUGGCGGCGUGCUUAACACAUGCAAGUCGAACGGAAAGGCCCUGCUUUUGUGGGGUGCUCGAGUGGCGAACGGGUGAGUAACACGUGAGUAACCUGCCCUUGACUUUGGGAUAACUUCAGGAAACUGGGGCUAAUACCGGAUAGGAGCUCCUGCUGCAUGGUGGGGGUUGGAAAGUUUCGGCGGUUGGGGAGGGACUCGCGGCUUAUCAGCUUGUUGGUGGGGUAGUGGCUUACCAAGGCUUUGACGGGUAGCCGGCCUGAGAGGGUGACCGGCCACAUUGGGCCUGAGAUACGGCCCAGACUCCUACGGGAGGCAGCAGUGGGGAAUAUUGCACAAUGGGCGGAAGCCUGAUGCAGCAACGCCGCGUGCGGGAUGACGGCCUUCGGGUUGUAAACCGCUUUCGCCUGUGACGAAGCGUGAGUGACGGUAAUGGGUAAAGAAGCACCGGCUAACUACGUG